rnacentral:lncRNA from 1 species
CUCAAUUAUCUGCUGGCCAGAAACAUUACAGUUUUCAACAAUUUCAGAAAAGUACUUUUUAUAUUACAUACAAACAUAAUUUUCCCUGGGUAGCUACUGGUCUGGGGAGCAACAUACUUAAAUUUCACGAAAAUCCGUUCGGUAGUUUUCGUAUCGCGUCGUGUGGAAGUUUGACCGGCUCCCUGUAUGCUGGUAUCCGAUUUUGAGUUCCAUGAAAUUGGG